rnacentral:ncRNA from 1 species
UGUCUUCAGGGCGGGGUGCAAGUCCCCACCGGCAGUUAAAGUCUGCGAGCGUAAUGCUGAUUCGGUGAAAUUCCGAAACCGACGGUUAAAGUCCGGAUGAAAGAAGAUG